rnacentral:rRNA from 1 species
GACGAAGGAUGCAAGCGUUAUCCGGAUUCAUUGGGGUUAAAGGGAGCGUAGGUGGUCUUAUAAGUCAGUGGUGAAAUCUCGCAGCUUAACUGCGAAACUGCCAUUGAUACUGUAGGACUUGAGUAUAGUUGCUGUGGGCGGAAUAUGACAUGUAGUGGUGAAAUACUUAGAGAUGUCAUAGAACACCGAUUGCGAAGGCAGCUCACAAAACUAUAACUGACACUGAGGCUCGAAAGUGCGGGGAUCAAACAGG